UACGUAGGGUGCGAGCGUUGUCCGGAAUUACUGGGCGUAAAGAGCUCGUAGGCGGUCUGUUGCGUCGGCUGUGAAAACCCGGGGCUCAACUCCGGGCCUGCAGCCGAUACGGGCAGACUAGAGUUCGGCAGGGGAGACUGGAAUUCCUGGUGUAGCGGUGAAAUGCGCAGAUAUCAGGAGGAACACCGGUGGCGAAGGCGGGUCUCUGGGCCGAUACUGACGCUGAGGAGCGAAAGCGUGGGGAGCGAACAGG
rnacentral:rRNA from 1 species